CUUUAAUGAUGGCACCUUUCAGAGGUGAAUUUCUACCAUGAUCAUACAAAAAUAAUCAUCUGUAGCCAAAAUGAAGAAUACCUUCUCACCUACAUCAAUGAGGAUAGGAUAUCUACAACUUUCAGGCUGACAACUCUGCUGAUGUCUGGCUGUUCAUCAGAAUUAAAAAAUCGAAUGGAAUAUGCCCUGAACAUGCUCUUACAAAGAUGUAACUGAAAGACUUUUCGAAUGGACCCUAUGGGACUCCUCUUUUCCACUGUGAGAUCUACAGGGAAGCCAAUAGAAUGAUCUAGAGCAUGUUGAAGAAGAUGGACAUGUGGUGGUACGAAAACAAUUCCCCUGUGGCCUGCUGGACUGGGUGGAAACAGAACAGUCUAAGGCAUACAGUUCUUGACUUUGGACAAUCCAAGAGUGAACCAGAAUGCAGUUUUCCUUGAGAUACCUGUUUUAAAAGGUUUUUCAGACAAUUUUGCAGAAAGGUGCAUUGAUUCUUAAAUUCUCUCUGUUGAGAGCAUUUCAGCCAGAGGACUUUGGAACUGUGAAUAUACUUCCUGAAGGGGAGGGAGAAGGGAGGAAGCUCCCAUGUUGUUUAAAGGCUGUAAUUGGAGCAGCUUUUGGCUGCGUAACUGUGAACUAUGGCCAUAUAUAAUUUUUUUUUCAUUAAUUUUUGAAGAUACUUGUGGCUGGAAAAGUGCAUUCCUUGUUAAUAAACUUUUUAUUUAUUACAGCCCAAAG
rnacentral:lncRNA from 1 species